UGGGUGGCUCAGUUGGUUAGAGCGCGGUGCUGAUAGCACCAGGGUUUCAGGUUUGAUCCCCGUAUGGGACAA